CUUGCCUUGAUUGGGAACCUUUGCUUUACGCUUUUUGUGCUGGGAGUGUUGAUCUUUACUAUCAUUGCCGCCACCUAUGAACCCGAAGACCCGUUGUUUCACCCGUCAACCAAGAUCACCACAUUCCUCACAUCCAAAUCCAAUGCCACUUUCAAGUCCGAUGACACUGUGGUCCGGACUGGUGAGAAUUUCUUGGCUCCCAAUCAAACAGAGAUUGGAAAUUUUAUCAAUAUGACUGAUGUUGUUAACUUGAGCGAGGGCGAUAAGUCGACCACUGAGAAUUCUGAAGCAGAAUCUG
rnacentral:lncRNA from 1 species